CCAGAAGAGGGCUUCAGCUCUCAUUACCUCAUUACAGAUGGUUGUGAGCCACCAUAUGGUGGCUGGGAUUUGAACUCAGGACCUCCGGAAGAGCGGUCUUAACCACUAAGCCAACUCUCCUUCCCCCAGAGUGAAGACAUGAAAGCCACCUUCCUGUGCUUGUAGAAACAAAACGUGGUUUCACAGCUACCAACUUACUACUACUACUGUUGCUGCUGCUGCUGCUACUUUUGCCAGAAUAAGUAAAGCUUUUUUUUUUUUUACAAUGACAGGGACAGUUUUUAGAUGAUAACUGGACUUGAACCCUUCUUUCUUGUCUGUUGGUGCUAGUGAAUCAGGCUGCAAAUCUAAGGAACGAACAGUCUCAAUGUUCAGUUUUCAUAAAUCCGGGAUCAAAGGUUCUCACAAACCUCAUUCAAAUUUAGAAGCAAGAACAGCUUCAUCUUCAAACCAUCUUCAAAACAAAGAUAGUUUCUUGUUGGUUUUUUUUUUUUUUUUUUUUUGCAUCUCACCAACCAUUGUGAAUCAUGCAAGUUAUGUCAGAAAAUAAAACUAGAAACAACAAGACAAAAACAGAACUUGUUUAGAAAAAGGCAAAGCUCCACAUUUCCAACUUGCAUUUGGAGGCAUUUCUGCAAGGGACAAAGACAAGUCGAUAUUGGAAAGUUAUGCUCUGCGGGAGGCCAACGGAAGAGUGUUGGGGACAGCAGGAGUGAGGACUUUGAUGGGAUGCUAAGCUGUGAUAAAUUGUACCUUCUGCCUCCCUUGAUGACCUUCUACUAUGGGACUGAAGCUGGAGAUCCUGCAGGGAACUAUUUUUCAGAAUCAAAGAGAACUGCCCAUCCUCUUCCUGGACCUCACCUUGGCUCUCUGUAUUGACAUUACCUGCCCAGGUGCCCAGAGGUGGGAAGGAGAGCACGCGUUUGGAGGAUGUGGACUGGAAGGAGAUGACUAGAAGCGCUCUUUUGUGGAGCACAGCAACCAGGGUGAGUCAGUCAUCACUUCCCUCUGUGCUCUGCUAACACAACAGGAUGUUUGUUGGCCCCUUACAACAUCUCCCAGGCAGAUAUGUACCCUUGAAUUGAAGGUCAGUUUCAUCAGAACUUACAUCAAAAUGUGCUAUUUGGUAUUAAUCUGUCCUUGUGUGUUGGGAAAGGGAAGGAGGGACAGUGGUGAGUAUGAACUGUACUUUUCCUUAACCCCUUAGAGUGGACUGGAUAUUCUUUUCCUGGGGACUUUGUUCAAUUAAGUGUUGAAGGACAGGGUAAUUUGCUGUAGAAAGCUGUUUUAUUUUUCCCCAAGUACUCCAAGUACUUCCUCUUUUAUACAGUUUCCUCUCUCACAAAAAUCAAUAAAACCACACCAAAAGGUCUCAUCUAUCAAAGAAAGUGUGUCUAACCUUUUGACCCUGUGAUACAGCACUGUCACGUACAAUGUUCACAUUUGAGAAUUACUGAAUCAAGUUAUUCUUCUCCAGGAAAUGUCACCCCAAACUCUCCUAAUGUUUGAAGUAAGCUUGUGAAUUUGUUUUGGGGCAUAUGCCUAGUUAUCUUUGGUUGUAUGAGGUUGGACAUGCUUGAAAACAUAGGAUAGGAUCUGUUGCCAAGUGAAUUAAGGCUAAGGAGAGGCUAAUGGGUAAAAGGUUUGUGUUCUUUACCUGUUAUAUAUGAGAUGUGUACAUGAUUCUGAAACAAAACAAAAAACCCCACAAAAACAAAAAAAUAAAAACAAAAUGUCCUUGAUUUGGUCUGAAACAAAAGUCCCUUAGAAAGCAAAUCUAAGCAGAUUGAAGUUUCUAUGUGAAAUUCAAGAUCACCAGUCCAGGGGUCAGUUUCUUGCAAUUUUUUGUCUCCAGAUCCAAUCCACCACCACCCCCACCUUUUUUCAUGACUCCAUGGCUACUGUUGCUAUUUCAGUAUCUUGUGAAGGUGAUGUGAGCCACUCACCAACCAAUUGUCCCAUUGCCAGGAGGCUAAGAGGAAAUGGCUGGGAUUCUACCCAAUGAAGGCAAGGAGAGGAAGGAAGAGCUCCUAUUACAUACAGGUCACGAAAAUACUUAGUAAGUCCCAGGAAGCAAGUGUGGGACUCAAGUGGUCCGGAAUACACGCAGAGCAGGGUCCAAGACCAGGCAGCUCUGAGGCUGACAUGGGUUUGUACAGGAAGCAAAAUCAAGGAGAUCAAAGUCUGUGGGUCUGAUUUCAUUGGCUGUGACUCCACCUUCCCAAAAGGAUAUUACAUCCUAUAAUGCUACCAGGGAUGAUGAGAGAAACAAUUUUAAUGCACCUCACCUGAAGAAACAAGAUUCACCACAAGGUUUCCUUAAUUUGCAUACAUUUGGUCACCAGUGUAGAUCAAGAUUUUUCUGUGCUAAGGCUUGCUAAUUAUAUUCCUCCAUGGCAACAGCUCCAUAUUAUCUGCCUCUUAGUGUGAUGGGUAUUGAUAUUUUUCCUAUUAAUUUGAAUAAUCUAUAUUAUAUUGGAUCUAACCAAAACCAAGUAUUUUUUUUUCAUCUUGCAAUUUAUUAUAAUUCCCUAUCAUUGUGUCCCAAAGAGAUAAUGAUGGAGCUUUUAAUAUGUAUAAAUCUGAUUCUAUUUCAUUGGUCUAAAAGGGAAGCACAUUUCUUUUGCCCAAGUGCUGAUAGUAAUUCAAAUCUUGUUUUGCAGGGAACUCUGUUACUUAGGAAAAGUAAUUUAGCAGGCUGUAAUCCAGAUCUCCCUCAGUACAUACAGACAGACAAAAUAAAAGGGGAAAAGAACAAAGAGCAACACUCUACUUGGAGAUCAGACCUCUUUCUCUGAAAGGUGAACUAUGUGCGGCGCACAAGAAGGCCGGGGUCAGCUGUCAGUCGGCAAGGAUAGCACAGGCUUAGGUCGUGAUCAGAUUUCACUGAAGCAGAGAGCGCAUAUGGCUGAUCUGUUGUUGAAAGCCAAGCCUUGGGUCCCACGGCAGCUUCUCCACUUAAGCAAAGAGCGGGUAUUUUUAGGGUUGACCCGAAUGAGAAGGCUCUCUGCACUGCUUUCACAUUCCUUUUCUGGAGGAUACUCUUGCCCAACGUCAAGAUGAAACAAUAUCUAUUAAUGUUCCCGCUUUGCUCCUGCUCUAUUAGCUCUGCUCUUCAAAUAAUCCGCUCACACUAAACAAUCUUGAUGACUGUAUCAGCGACAGCAGGUGUUACACUUCUACUUAGCCCAGGAGCUUCUAGUCCUUUAAUACAAGCUGUUCUUUACAUUUGUUUGUUUGUUUGUUUAUGUAUUUAUAGUGUGUGUGUGUGUGUGUGUGUGUGUGUGUUUGUGUGUGCCCGCGCGCGCGAGCACACGCGCAUACCCCGUGAGGGUAGAUGUAUGGAAGGAAGUCAGAAAGCACAGAAGCUUCUUUUCUUCCACAUGGAUUCUAGGGGACUGAACUCCGGCUUGUGGAGCAAAUGUGUCCUCAGCCUCUAAAGGUUUUCUUUGGAUCUUAUGCAUGGAAAUGAUAAUAGUGACCUCUAAGUAAACUAUUGAAUGCCCAUGUAUAGCAGGCACUGUGCUAUUUAUUCAUUUACUUUAACCUUUCCCACUAUCUUAUGAUGUAGGUAUUACGAUUCUUAUUUUAGGAAUGAGGAAGCUCAAAUUUGGGGUAAUGAUUUUGGUUUAUAUUUCUACAGCUGGUAACCAAUAGCUGAACUAUCUGAAUCCAGCAUCUGACUAACACCUCUUAGGAAGCCAUGCUGGUUCUUUUCUAUUUUAAAAUGUUUUGAUUAGAUGUAUUCCCUUUGUAUUUAUUUUAGGUAUUAACGUUUUGUCUGUGUGUAUCCAUGUGCACCACACAAAUGCUUGGCGCCUAUGGAGGUUAGGAAAGGCGAUUGGAUCCCUUGAAGCUGGAGUUAUGUGGGUGCUGGGAAUAAAAUGCAAGUCCUCUGCAAGAACAAGAGCUCUUCAUUGCUGAGCUAUCUCUUCAGACCCACCACAGUGCUUCUUGACAAAUUCUGUAUACCAAAUAUGCUACAGGACUAAGGAGUAAUAGAUUCUCAUUAAAAAAAAAAAAAAAAAAACAAACAACCAAAAACCUCAAUGGUUGACUAUAUAUCACAAAAGGGAACUUCCAAAGCAUAACAAAAAGACAUUGUUUCCACAUCAAGUCCACCAUGUGUUCGAUUAGGAAACCUUGUUAAACUUUAUAGAAUAGUGCAGGGAGUUCUUGAUUUGGGGAGCUGAUGUGGAAAUUAUCAGUUGUUUCCCAAGAAAUGAGUAAUGAUGACUAAGGCCAUUAGAUCCCAGGCACACAAUUAGGCCACCAAAUGGCCUCUAGGAACAUCCUUAUCUAAAUUAUGACUAGAGAUUGUGUGAAGGUCUCCAUUCGUCAGGAAGAGAAGUGUAUCACUCAAUCCCCUCGGUGUCCUGCCUGAGGUGUAAACUGACAGUUAGCCCAGCAAAGGUACACUCUGUGCUAGGGCCACCACCACAAGGAUUAGAGCCGAAAGAGGGAUCUGAGAACAAUAUGAAAGUAUUAUGGGAGGGGUUGGGGAUUUAGCUCAGUGGUAGAGUGCUUGCCUAGCAAGCACAAGGCCCUGGGUUCGGUCCCCAGCUCCGAAAAGAAGAAAAAAGAAAAAAAGAAAAAAGAAAAAAAGAAAAAAGAGAAAAGAAAGUAUUAUGGGAGACAGAGAAAGUAGGAUCUUGGUCAAUGAUAAAUAGGGACAUUCCUGAUGUGGGAAACAGAAUCCCAUUUCAUCUAACAAACAAGGCUAUCUUAUGUAGGGUGUCCCAGGGAGUAAGCAGAAGACCGAGGGAAGAUUUAGCUACUCCUUCAAGGAAUCCCAUACUGCGGCAAGGGCACCACACCCAUAGAUAAACCAGAUAUACGUCCCUCAGGUCACAGAGAGGGUUCGUAGGAAGACAGAAGCAAAUUACCAAAGGGAACAAGAAAACCCUAAAAGGAAGUAUCUAGGAUGUUUUUUAAAGCCAACUUGACUCUCUCCAUAAGGAGAUGUGUGAUGACCACAACAUCUCAAGAACUGAGAUGGAAGGCAGUGGAUUUUCAGUAAGAGCAAGGACCCUUUAGAGUGGGAUAACGUGCACACUCUCCAGAUGUGUGUUUGGGUAUUUGUGUGCGAGCACAUGUAUGUGUGCGCGCACGUGCGCAUCUGAUGGGAGGUGGUAGUGGUGAAAGGUAAGGCAAGAAGGACAAAUGCAGCCAAACCUUGUGGCUUAGGAAUUCUACAACUCUUGUGAAGACAGCAGGAAGGGCCAUCCCACAGUUUCUAAGGCGGAACCUGUACAAUCUGAUCUGUGUGCUUAGAAAGAUCCCUGUUAUCAGUGGGAAGCACAGCCCUAAGCCAGAAUGACUCAGACAUCUUGUCCUGAAGAAACAAGAAGCCCGUGGGAACAGGAGCUGGGCAUCAGUGAGUAGCACAUUUAAAAAAAAAAAAAAGCCUACAAAAAGCUAAACCUAUACCAACUGAAAACUCGAUUUUACUAUAAACCAGAUCUAUUAAAAGAAAUACCACAAACUGUUUUAUUUGAAAUCACUCAUAUUUUUCAGUGAUAUUUUCAGCCUAUAUUUUCAUCAU